rnacentral:lncRNA from 1 species
ACCCAAUCGAGUUAUACCCGAUCAAGGGACUGGAUACCCAUGACGAGUUGGAGGAGUGAGCAGAGCUCGUCGAGGACCUUAUCUCAAUUCCACUGGUGGAUGAAAAUUUAGAGCAUAUGAUCCAGAUUGGAUCAAAUCUGGAUUAGGUAAUGAAAACCUAGCUAACCUCAUUUUUGCAGAUGAAUUUGGACAUCUUCGCUUGAAAACUAGCAAAUAUAUCAGUCAAAACUUGAUCCAUCAGUGAUCAUGCACCGACUGAACAUGAGCCCAAAGUACUGCCCCUUCAAGCAAAAGAAGAGGAGUUUCACCCCAGAAUAGUAGAAGGCCAUGGCCGAGAAGGUGGAUAAGCUGCUUCAGGCAGAUUUUAUUAAAGAGAUAACCUAUCUAGAGUGAAUAGCUAAUGUGGUCAUGGUGAAGAAGGCAAACGAUAAAUGGCGG